AUGAGGAUGUGGACAGCUUGGUGUGUGGCCAUGUACUUCUUUGGAGCAAGAGCUAAAAUCACCCAAACUUCAAGUCUUGUGCUGAAAGAAGAUGAGAAAGCUACUCUGACAUGCAGUCAAAAUGAUAAUCACAAUUUUAUGUACUGGUAUCUGCAGCAGCCAGGGAAGGGGCUGCAAUUGGUCUAUUAUUCCUUUGGUCCAAAUCAGCAACAAAAGGGUGACAUUCACGAUGGAUACGAAGCUAAGCGGUUAAACCUCACAGAUUUCUAUUUGGAUAUUUUAUCUGUGAAGAUGAACUAUUCAGCUGUCUAUUUCUGUGCCAGCAGUUUGGACACAACACUUCAAAGUCCCUUGCUUUCUUUACAUAAACUCCUCUCCUUUCCAGCACCUUCCCUGAGAAGGGAGCCGCUGUCGGCACAGGAAAAGG